AAUCCGACGGUUGAGAAAAAAACAAUUAGUCUACGGCUCGGAUGUAAGAUUGACCCUAAUUCUUCACUGCAUACCCAACUCAAUCUUCUUCUGCAACAGCUACAACACCAGAGCAUCCAAUCUGUUUCAAGUUCCAACAACAACUCACUUCUUCCUAGCAGUAACUUCAUCUUCCAAUUCCUUCGACCCACUUCAACAGCGAUCACCAUAAUCAAACAAACCUUAAGAACCCUAAUUUACUGAUUUAAUGAAACCCCAAAUUUCACUAAAUGGAAUCCCAAAUUUCUGAAUCAAACAAACUCUCAAUUUCACUAAGGGGAAACCCAGAGUGCUGAAUCAAAUCAAAACCUCAAUUUCUGUUUCUUGAUCUUCUCGUACACAACCACGAGUCGAUGACAGCAACACUAAUUAGAAUCUUUCUCUUCCAUUAUCUUCUCUCUGAUUCUUAGCUGAAUCCAGUUCAUAAUACCCUUCAAUCAAUCGACCCCAAUUUCAGCAGCAACACUAGUUCUUUCCUUAUUGCUUUAGAAAACCAAAAACCCCAGAUUUAAUUGUUUAUUGUUGCCGCUGUCGCCUGAAUUCGAAAACCAUCAGCUACACCAAUCUUAGAUGACCUAGAAACCCCCCAAAUCUGUAGCAACAACCACCACUGCGUCAGAUCCCCUUUCUGUGCUCUUCAAUCGCCAUGAUAACCUAACUUCGCUGUUGAAGAAUGAAUUCAGAUCACAUUUGAAAACCCAUGAAUCCAUCGUUGGCGUUGCUGCUGUUGGAAGAGGUCCGGAACUCCACCGUCAAUAAUUGUACCAGAGGUCAACAUUAGUGAAUUGGUGCAUAAGUAGCUGUAAUGAGAAUCGCAACUGGUUUUUGCAAUUCAAAUGAAAUCCAGGAAGACCCCUUCCCCCUAGUCUUAUAGAAUCCAUGUAAUUUCAGCAAUCCUUUGUGAUUUCAAUAUAAUGUCAAAUUUGUGUAAUAAAAUUA